rnacentral:rRNA from 1 species
UACGAAGGGGGCGAGCGUUGUUCGGAUUUACUGGGCGUAAAGGGCGCGCAGGCGGCGCAUUUUGUCAGGCGUGAAAGCCCCGGGCUUAACCUGGGAACUGCGUUUGAUACGGAUGGGCUAGAGUUCGGGAGAGGAGAGUGGAAUUCCCAGUGUAGAGGUGAAAUUCGUAGAUAUCGGGAGGAACACCGGUGGCGAAGGCGGCGACCUGGGACAAUACUGACGCUGAGGUGGCGAAAGCGUGGGGAGCAAACAGG